rnacentral:rRNA from 1 species
CAGACGGGAGGCAGCAGGAGGGAAUAUGGAGCAAUAGAAGAAACAAAGAAGAAUCAAAGCAAAUCCUCGUCUUAAUUUUUUCUUCUUUUCCCCUCCUUUUUUUCUAUAAUAUAAUGACGGUAUCUAACGAAUAAGCACCGGCUAACUCCGUGCCAGCAGCCGCGGUAAUACGGAGGGUGCAAGCGUUACUCGGAAUCACUGGGCGUAAAGAGCGCGUAGGCGGGAUAGCAAGUCAGAUGUGAAAUCCUAUAGCUUAACCAUAGAACUGCAUUUGAAACUGUUAUUCUAGAGUAUGGGAGAGGUAGGUGGAAUUCUUGGUGUAGGGGUAAAAUCCGUAGAGAUCAAGAGGAAUACUCAUUGCGAAGGCGACCUGCUAGAACAUAACUGACGCUGAUGCGCGAAAGCGUGGGGAGCAAACAGGAUUAGAUAACACUGUAGUC